rnacentral:rRNA from 1 species
CCUACGGGUGGCAGCAGUGGGGGAUAUUGCACAAUGGGGGAAACCCUGAUGCAGCGACGCCGCGUGUGGGAAGACGGUCCUCUGGAUUGUAAACCACUGUCCCCAGGGACGAAGAUGACGGAACCUGGGGAGGAAGCUCCGGCUAACUACGUGCCAGCAGCCGCGGUAAUACGCAGGGAGUGAGCGUUGUCCGGAAUUACUGGGUGUAAAGGGGGCGUAGGCGGGACUGCAAGUUGGGUGUCAAAACUACCGGCUCAACCGGUAGCCGCACUCAAAACUGCAGUUCUUGAGUGAAGUAGAGGCAGGCGGAAUUCCUGGUGUAGCGGUGAAAUGCGUAGAUAUUAGGAGGAACACCAGUGGCGAAGGCGGCCUGCUGGGCUUUUACUGACGCUGAGGCUCGAAAGUGUGGGGAGCGAACAGGAUUAGAUACCCCAGUAGUC